rnacentral:lncRNA from 1 species
CCAGAAAGAGCUAAAGCCCCGCCGGAAGUUCAUCCUACUACAGUGAGACCAAAAUCUUAAGACAUCCUUACAAGAAACAGAUCAGAACGAGCUCAAGGCAAAAAAAUAUCAGAGUACCACGGGUGGUUAUCCUACUUCAGGAACAGUGAAGGACGAUCCGUUGCUCUGCACUGCAGAAAGAGCACAAAAACAAACAAGUAACAAGAAACAAGUCGACAAACAUGUCGCCACUAACGCGACCUGCAGGCAGGUCCAGCGACCCCCGCAGAAAGGACAGUUAAAUCUCAAGUGGCUUUCCCCAGUGAACAGUUGCAUCUCUCCCGGCCCCAAACAGUAAAAUCCUUCAGUGUCUUUCCCUUCGGCAACCCCCUUGCAGUAGUCUUGUCACCAGUUAUCCGAUCCGAGACCCGCAGAUUUCCGAGCGCAGAGCGUCAUCCAUUCGUGAAUCCGGAAUGUUACUUAAACCACCAGAGGCUUCAACCACCUUUGACGGCUCUAAUAAUCGCUCUGGCGUUCGAUCCUCCAGUUCCCGGAACCCCCGCCACCUCCGCGACCUCCAUAAC